CGGCAAGGAUGUUGGUGAAGCAGACGGAUUCCUGCCCUUGGAAGUCUCUAGAAUCAGAGGACAGGGUUCAGGACAGCUACACCAAAAUGUGGCACCUUGGCACUGAGGAAACAGUGGAAGCAGGGAGACCACUCUCAUCUGCCCCUUGUUGUCUCCCUCACAUUAAGCCAGGGAGGACUUCUCUGACCUCUGAAGAAAACCUUCAAGGGCCCUCUUCUUAUAUCCAGAGGAAUGACACAGAGAUACCAGGAAGAAUCUGAUCCAACAAGACUUUGCUGACUUAGCAAGACACUGGCAUGGGGAACUGGAUCCACAAAAGGAAUACUGGAUGCCACCUUGGUGAUUUUGUGGGAGUGUCACCUUGAGCAAGCUAGCUGUUCAAUGUUCUUUCAGCUUGUUUGCUUACCUGUAACAUAAAGAUGACAACCCAUCUCACAGGGCUGUGGUGAGAGUGAAAUUAAAUAAGGCAGACAAAUCCACUGGCAGGUCAUAAGAAGAAAAAACUCUGUGAGGACUUUUCUGUCACCUUCUUUCUGAUGCUGAACUGCUUGAGGGCAAAAAUGAUGUCAUUUGUUUCUUGGAUGCUCUAUUUGAAUGCCUUGCUUGCUCAUGCUACC